rnacentral:rRNA from 1 species
CGGAGGAUCCAAGCGUUAUCCGGAAUCAUUGGGUUUAAAGGGUCCGUAGGCGGUUUGAUAAGUCAGUGGUGAAAGCCCAUCGCUCAACGAUGGAACGGCCAUUGAUACUGUCAGACUUGAAUUACUGGGAAGUAACUAGAAUAUGUAGUGUAGCGAUGAAAUGCUUAGAUAUUACAUGGAAUACCAAUUGCCGAAGGCAGGUUACUACCAGUGGAUUGACGCUGAUGGACGAAAGCGUGGGGAGCGAACAGGAUUAGAUACCCUGGUAGUCCACGCCGUAAACGAUGGAUACUAGCUGUUCGGAGCAAUCUGAGUGGCUAAGCGAAAGUGAUAAGUAUCCCACCUGGGGAGUACGUUCGCAAGAAUG